rnacentral:rRNA from 1 species
UACAGAGGAGCCAAGCGUUGUCCGGAUUGACUGGGCGUAAAGCGCACGCAGGCGGAUGCGCGCGUGGGGUGUGAAAUCUGGCCGCUUAACGGCCAGGCGCCAUCCCAUACGGCGCGUCUGGAGUGAUGCAGAGGUCGAUGGAAUUGCCGGUGUAGUGGUGAAAUGCGUAGAGAUCGGCAGGAACACCCAGGGGGAAACCAGUCGACUGGGCAUCUACUGACGCUGAGGUGCGAAAGCGUGGGGAGCGAACAGG